rnacentral:rRNA from 1 species
GACGAACGCUGGCGGCGUGCUUAACACAUGCAAGUCGAACGGAAAGGCCCUGCUUUUGUGGGGUGCUCGAGUGGCGAACGGGUGAGUAACACGUGAGUAACCUGCCCUUGACUUUGGGAUAACUUCAGGAAACUGGGGCUAAUACCGGAUAGGAGCUCCUGCUGCAUGGUGGGGGUUGGAAAGUUUCGGCGGUUGGGGAUGGACUCGCGGCUUAUCAGCUUGUUGGUGGGGUAGUGGCUUACCAAGGCUUUGACGGGUAGCCGGCCUGAGAGGGUGACCGGCCACAUUGGGACUGAGAUACGGCCAAGACUCCUAGGGGGGGCAGCGGUGGGGAAUAUUGCAAAAGGGGCGGAAGCCUAAUGCAGCAACGCCGGGUGGGGGAUGACGGCCUUCGGGUUGAAAACCGCUUUCGCCUGUGACGAAGCGUGAGGGACGGUAAUGGGUAAAGAAGCCCCGGCUAACUACG